rnacentral:tRNA from 1 species
GCAGGGCUAGUUUAUAUUAAAAUGUUGGUUUGUGGGGCUGAAGAAAGUGGCGUGUCUACUGCCUUGCU